rnacentral:misc_RNA from 1 species
GUAGUGCCGACAGUGGAGUUUCUCCAGAACUUUCCUUUCCUUGGAAAGAGCUAGAGUUCCUUGUUCGUGGAGGAGUUCCAAGGGAUCUUAGGGGAGAGGUAUGGCAAGCUUUUGUUGGAGUCAGAGCACGUCGACUGGAAAUAUAUUACUUGGAUUUGCUUGAUCCAGAAAGUGAUACUGGUGAUGGUCAGGAGCAUGAUGGAUCAUCAUUGGCUGAAGAGAACAAGAGACCGAGUAAAGAAAGCAUUCAUGUGCCAGAGAAAUUGAGAAAGCAGAUUGAGAAGGAUCUUCCGCGAACCUUUCCUGGACAUCCUGCACUAGAUGAGAGAGGUCGAAAUUCCUUAAGGCGUCUACUUAUAGCAUAUGCUCGUCACAAUCCAGAUGUGGGGUAUUGCCAGGCAAUGAACUUUUU